rnacentral:rRNA from 1 species
GACGAUCAGUAGCGGGUCUGAGAGGAUGAUCCGCCACACUGGAACUGAGACACGGUCCAGACUCCUACGGGAGGCAGCAGUGGGGAAUUUUGGACAAUGGGGGCAACCCUGAUCCAGCCAUUCCGCGUGAGUGAAGAAGGCCUUCGGGUUGUAAAGCUCUUUCAGCUGGAACGAAACGGUACGCUCUAACAUAGCGUGCUAAUGACGGUACCAGCAGAAGAAGCACCGGCUAACUACGUGCCAGCAGCCGCGGUAAUACGUAGGGUGCGAGCGUUAAUCGGAAUUACUGGGCGUAAAGCGUGCGCAGGCGGAUUGUUAAGCAAGACGUGAAAUCCCCGGGCUUAACCUGGGAAUGGCGUUUUGAACUGGCAGUCUAGGGUGUGUCAGAGGGGGGUAGAAUUCCACGUGUAGCAGUGAAAUGCGUAGAGAUGUGGAGGAAUACCAAUGGCGAAGGCAGCCCCCUGGGAUAACACUGACGCUCAUGUACGAAAGCGUGGGUAGCAAACAGGAUUAGAUACCCUGGUAGUCCACGCCCUAAACGAUGUCAACUGGUUGUUGGGGGAGUGAAAUCCCUUAGUAACGAAGCUAACGCGUGAAGUUGACCGCCUGGGGAGUACGGUCGCAAGAUUAAAACUCAAAGGAAUUGACGG